UGUGCCUUUAUACAUUAAAACAUUAAACAGGACAUUUCAUCCAAGGUGAAAGUUUAAAGGAUACACAUUUGUAUCACUCAAGCUGAGUAGGUGAACUCACAACUUUGUUGUCAUUAACAACGUUGCUUGGGCUUGCUUGAAAUGUCUUUGAAAUGUCUUGUUUUGUUUGUGUUUAUGUUUGGCUUGACCUAAUUAGUUUUGUUUUGUUGUGUUUUUAGAGCCAGGCUCCUCUCGGUGGCCAUGGUGACAAUGGUACGAACGUCACCAGAAUCAGAACCAGUCAGGGGGGCGAUGCCGGGGGGGCAGGGGUACAGGACGCAACAGACGAGGAGGCGGCCCCGGACAACUCUGUCUACACGACCCUGGAGUCUCGUCCUGCAUCGAUUUAUGAUGUGUUGGAUCCAUCUGCAUCAAACAGCAGGACGCAAUCAAAGAAGAGCAGCAGGAAGAGGUCACAGAAAAAGGAUGAAGUUGCCCCUGCAGAGGAUGGGAUAUUUGAAUCUGUCUAUGAGAAUCUGUGAUGAUUUUUUGUAACGUCAUCAGUCGUAUUGUCUUGUGAAAACAUUUACCUGACCUGCCCUCUGUGCCGUGGUAUUUUAUGUAGCUUGUGAUGCCUGUUUUUAAACUGUGAAGACAAUGUGUCAUUUCAUUCUAGUGGGUUGAGAGU